UGUACUGAGGGCUGAGGAAUGAGACACGAGGGGGGGAGAUCGCAAUAGCAUAUAUGGGCAGCACGGGGGUGUGACUGCAGCCUCUUGGGAUCAGUGAAUAUAAUAAGAGGUGACCAUUAUAACCAUAGACCGGAUACCCAAACCAGACCCCUAUGGACAACCCAACAGACAAAGCACUCCUGGCUUCUAUUCCCAGAAGAGUAGACGAUUACAUCCCACAGUUCUCAAAAAAGCAUGCAAGGAUGAAGAAGCAGAAGCAUUAAGUUCCAGUCUGCAGAAAGAACUCUUGGUGAGGCCCCUCUGCCUGCCCAGCCAAGCACAACAACAUCUUCCUCAUGAUGAGCGAUCUAAAUCUGAAACCUAUCUACAAAAUGAAACAAAAGAGACUAGAGCUGAUUGGCAAAGCCAGUCUGAAGAGGUUCACCCAUCCUGGCAUGGUCGUUUAAAAAAAGCACGGAUGAAGCCUCUGCUGCCAAUGCAUUCUCAUAGUCAACCAAGGGAUUGGCACGCUUGCCAAGGAAUGUUACCAGAGCGAAUCCAGGCUAAUCCAGCUUUAGAUGGCCUGACCAUGCUACAGCAGCACUUUUUUGGAGACCCAUCCAUUCACAUUCUAGUCCCGCGGACUGCAGAGACUCCACAUUACACCUCCCUUGCUUCUCUUUCUGGGCCUCACAUGGAAGAAAAUGAAGAUGAAAUACAACAAUGACGCUGAUAAGGAUGCUAAAUAGGAUGCCCAAACUGUCUUACUGAAUUACUGCUACAAAAAAAUUUAGCCAAAGUCACAGCUGCAACAUUACUAUUGCAGUACUUAUAAUACUUCUAUACAUGUUUAUAAAGCAUGAUUUGCAAUGGAUUCCUGUGCAAAACAAAAAAAACAAUGUGUAAUUCCAUCUGUAUAAAUGUUACAGAGCAAGAAGAAAGCUGGCGCGAGCAUUUCAUAGCUGUUUAGAAAAACUCCGUUAGCACACUUACGCUUAAGUCAGUUUGAAUAGGAUGGGUACAUAUUGGUCAUAUAUAUGUCUUUAUUAGAGAUGUUGUUGCACA